UAAAAAUUUACUAAUGUUGAUUUUUGCUUACAGUAUAAAUGGUGCUUGAUCUGUGCAUUUUUCUCUUCUGAUUCGGAUGAGAAACAUUAUGCUUGAUCUGUGCAUAUUUCUCUUCCGAUUCAGAUGAGCAACAUUAUGAAUAGCCAUAAGCAACACUUUGAAGUUAAAAAUGUUUUAAUGAUGGAUUUGUUUAGCACAAAUACACAGCUGUUCAUUUCACAAGAUGUCAGUUGAAGGACUGGAGUCAUGUGGAUCAGCUGUUUGAACUCUCAUUCUGACGGCACCCAUUCACUGCAGAGGAUCCAUUAGUGAGCAAGUGAUCUCAUCUACUGCUUUGGAUCGCCUGAAGGGUGAGUGGGAGGUGUGCUGAUGUUGACCCAGAAGUGAAGUGAUGCGUGGAGGACAGACAGCAGUGUCAGCAGGAGAGAACAGGUUUCUUAACAGAUUAGUAAGUUGGAGACCCAUGCCAGUGGAUGGUGGUACUGGUGAUGGUGGACCGCCUGGUCUGAGACUGAAGAAUGAAGCGAAUGAAGCAGACCUAUCCCGUCUGUCUCCUAAUAAACAGGCACCAGAUCCUGGGCCCCGGCCAGAGGGGAGCCCUGCCACCCAAACCGCCAUCUCUCCCUCGCCUCUAGAGCCUAGCAGGGAGGCGAACGGCCACACGCCGUCUGACAGAAAGACAGAGAGAGCAAAGCCAGCGGGCCAUAUGUGUCUGGUUGUGAGAGGAACUCAAACCACAGACUGUCCAACUCAGAAAUGCUGCAUCUGCCCAGCUCUUCCUCAUGGCAGAAUUAAUGGAGCGCUCAGCAUGGAGCGGGGUGAAAAAGUCACAACUAAAGA